rnacentral:rRNA from 1 species
CAGCCGCCGCGGUAAUACGUAGGGUGCGAGCGUUAAUCGGAAUUACUGGGCGUAAAGCGUGCGCAGGCGGCUUUGCAAGACAGAUGUGAAAUCCCCGGGCUCAACCUGGGAACUGCAUUUGUGACUGCAAGGCUAGAGUACGGUAGAGGGGGAUGGAAUUCCGCGUGUAGCAGUGAAAUGCGUAGAUAUGCGGAGGAACACCAAUGGCGAAGGCAAUCCCCUGGACCUGUACUGACGCUCAUGCACGAAAGCGUGGGGAGCAAACAGGAUUAGAUACCCCAGUAGUCCCUGUCUCUUAUAC